GAGUGUGGGGUCCACUUCCGGCUGGGGGCGCGGCUCAGGCUCGGGGCCUGAGGAGACGGGUUCUUGGCGUGCGGCGCGCGGGGUGCCCCGUCCCCCGCAAAGCGCGUCCGGUUCCGCGUGUGGGAGCCCCACCCUCGGGCUUGCGCGUCCCGGGGCUGCCCGAGGAGCCUACACGGAGCCUCGCUAGCGAGCGGCCGCCGCGGUUCAUAACGUUCUGUGCUUGUAAAACAGCAUUGUGGAUACUGGAGAGAGCCACCCACAACUUAGACAGUAAAACCUUGAUUAACCGGAACUCAGCUAACCGGUAUUUUUGUGAGGGUGGAAGGAAGCUGCAGGCGGAAGGCAGGGAGAGCUGCCCCCAACCACCAAGAAGCCUUGAAGUUCAAAGCAAAGUUCUGUGAUUGGUUGCUUCAUCGACUGAGAAGAUCUGCCUCCCCAAGUCAGAGAAGCUCUGCAUGUGGUCUGGGAACUGAACAAGUUGCUAAAAAAGUGGAUUUCUGUGAGCACUUGAGUGCAGAAGACGGGGGAAGCUGAGGCAAACGGGUGGGGGUCUUGGGCAGUGGGAGGAGAAGGAAGGAAAACUGGUGGGAAAUGGGAAUAAGGACAGGGCAAGAAGGGAAGACCAAGUGUUGGUGAAGUGGAGAGGUAGCCAGGAACCUUGGGAGAAAGGAGUGUGGGUGGAAGCUGUGAGAGGAAAAUUAAAAGGAAGGAGAGGAAAACCUCAAGCAAAUUGAAAGAGAGAGGGGGGCAGUGAGGUGAGAGGAGAAAAGCCAAAUCAAUACUGUGUGCAAGGAGAGCAUACACCUCUAUUCCUCUGUAAGUCACAGUG
rnacentral:lncRNA from 1 species